rnacentral:rRNA from 1 species
UACGUAGGGUGCAAGCGUUAAUCGGAAUUACUGGGCGUAAAGCGUGCGCAGGCGGUUAUGUAAGACAGAUGUGAAAUCCCCGGGCUUAACCUGGGAAUGGCAUUUGUGACUGCAUGGCUAGAGUUUGGCAGAGGGGGGUAGAAUUCCACGUGUAGCAGUGAAAUGCGUAGAUAUGUGGAGGAAUACCGAUGGCGAAGGCAGCCCCCUGGGUCAAGACUGACGCUCAUGCACGAAAGCGUGGGGAGCAAACAGG